GACGAACGCUGGCGGCGUGCUUACACAUGCAAGUCGAGCGGUAAGGCUCCUUCGGGAGUACACGAGCGGCGAACGGGUGAGUAACACGUGAGUAAUCUGCCCUUCACUUCGGGAUAACCGCCGGAAACGGUGGCUAAUACCGGAUACGACGCGUUCUCGCAUGAGAUGCGCGUGGAAAGUCUUCUCGGUGGAGGAUGUGCUCGCGGCCUAUCAGCUUGUUGGUGAGGUAACGGCUCACCAAGGCUUCGACGGGUAGCCGGCCUGAGAGGGUGACCGGCCACACUGGGACUGAGACACGGCCCAGACUCCUACGGGAGGCAGCAGUGGGGAAUAUUGGACAAUGGGCGAAAGCCUGAUCCAGCAACGCCGCGUGAGGGAUGACGGCCUUCGGGUUGUAAACCUCUUUCAGUACCGACGAAGCGCCUUUUACGGUGGUGACGGUAGGUACAGAAGAAGGACCGGCCAACUACGUGCCAGCAGCCGCGGUAAUACGUAGGGUCCGAGCGUUGUCCGGAAUUAUUGGGCGUAAAGGGCUCGUAGGCGGUUUGUCGCGUCGGGAGUGAAAACUUACAGCUUAACUGUGAGCGUGCUUCCGAUACGGGCAGACUUGAGGUAUUCAGGGGAGAACGGAAUUCCUGGUGUAGCUGGUGAAAUGCGCAGAUAUCAGGAGGAACACCGGGUGGCGAAGGCGGUUCUCUGGGAAUAUCCUG
rnacentral:rRNA from 1 species